rnacentral:rRNA from 1 species
ACGGCCAUACCAUGCUGAAUAUACCGGUUCUCGUUAGAUCACCGAAGUCAAGCAUCAUUGGACGCAGUCAGUACUUGGGUGGGAGACCACCUGGGAACACCGCGUGCCGUU